CAAAUGACUCUCGGCAACGGAUAUCUCGGCUCUCGCAUCGAUGAAGAACGUAGCGAAAUGCGAUACUUGGUGUGAAUUGCAGAAUCCCGUGAACCAUCGAGUCUUUGAACGCAAGUUGCGCCCGAAGCCACCAGGCCGAGGGCACGUCUGCCUGGGCGU
rnacentral:rRNA from 1 species